GUAACCCAGGCGGCGCAGCGCUGGGCCUCGCGGGCGCGGCGUGGGAUCUUGGCGAAGUUUCUCUGCAUGGAACUCUUGCGCUCGGCUGGCGGUGGAGGAUGGGGAAAGGCUAGGUCCCCGCGCCUCCCCCGCCCCAGCCCUGUCCUUCGGCCUGCGCCCUGGCGGCCCGGACGCCGCCGCGCGCUGGGCGUCGUGUAACCCUUCGAGGGCUGGUCUCGGGGCCGGCUGGUGGAGGUCAGGCGAGCAGGAUGCUGCCUUUGGGGGAUGCCGCUUGGGGAAAACCCAGAGCCUCAGCCGAGACAAGCGCGUGGAAAGCGGGCGGCCGGAUCCAGCCCCAGGAAGCCCGUCGGGGGCCUGCGCGACGUCCCUAAUCCGAGACGCGUGGGAGCUGAGAGCUGGGUCUUUGCGGGCGAGAUGAAGGUGUCGGUUCAACUGGCCUACAAAGUCCCAGUCCUCGGCCCCCAGGACCGACGGCUCCUCCUCGCCCCUCGCCGUUUUCUCCCGGGCGGACGCGAGCUCGGCUCCCAAGGCGGGGCGGGGAGCCGGGCCGGGCCGCACCUCGCGGGUCCACACCGGAGACGGGGUGACGGGGCGCGCUCGCCGCGGGCUCUGUGUGGAAGGUUCGAGGGAUCCCUGCGCUUGGCAGGAGCGGUGGGAACGCACUCGGAGGUUCGAGUUGGUCCCUGUGGGCGGCUGGUGUCCUCCGGGUGGAGCCGGAUCCUGGCCGCGGCCGACCUGGAGGGAAGGGAGAGACGGCGCCCCGCUUUCUCUCCGGCCGAGCCGAUUCGCCUACGGGGCCCUGCCCUGCUGCGCUUUCCGGAGCCUCCACCUUGAGCUUGAGGGUGGUGAGGACCACGCGAGGACUAGAGUUGCCCCGGGAAUACGGGCCGGGAUGUGGAGGUUUAGCCCCUCUCCCUGAGCUCCACUACCAUUUCUUUAAAGAUGCAUUUUUGUGGGUGUGUUCUUAAUGGCCAGCCUUUUGUUCCCUGACCUAGGCAACAUUGUGCUGACCCUCGGCACCCCCCCCCCCGCCCCCAGUCCUCUUAAAGUUUUCUGCUGAAAUUCCCAUCUUAAAUUGUUUAUCCAAUAACUUUGUUUCUACCUCCUCCUGCAAAAGAAAAACCCCAGUAACCCCUGAAAUCUCGGCGUCUGCCUGGUGUUGGAACUUUCUGUUUAUUUUUGUUUGUUUGUAUUGUGUUUGGGCUGUCUUGGCAGUGGGGACCUCGGGAAAACAUUUGGGAACAUGCCGGGAGGUGACCUGAACCGUGCGAAGGGCCAAUUGACAAAAUAGGACUCUUUGGGCUCCUUUCUUCCCGGCUUUGGAAAACAGGAUAGAUGUCUGGAAGCAGGGAGGAGGGAGAAACCCGCCCUGCCAGGUUGGCCCACCUCUCUCAAGGAUGUGGAAGGUUCUUCCAGAAUCUUCUCUGACUAAUGUGGGCCCUUGUAGAGGAGACCUCGCAGGACUCCUGCCACACCUGUGUCCCUGUUCCAGUGGCCGUGAGGGGGCCUGAAUGGAGGGGACACCUUGGGCUGUGGGGCCAUCCAGGCAGGGUUGGGCCCGUGCGUGAGCCCAGGAGUGGGCAAAGCCUGGGAGCGGGCAGAGCCCGGAACUGCUGUUGACCAGCAUUUUUUCCGUGUGAGCUUUGUCCUGCCAACUGUAACCCGUGGACCGUGCAAACGCCAGAACUGUGGGAGAAAAGAGUUUCCUUAGGGCCACGCGUCUAAACGUACAGACGUACUCAGUUUUGAGGGAAACUGUCGGGAGGGGACUGGUGGCGACUUCAGCUGGAGUCGUCGUUUGUUGUUGUUUAGUCACUAAGUUGUGUUUGACUCUUUGGGACCCCAUGGACUGUAGCCUGCCAGGUUCCUCUGUCCAUGGAAUUCUCCAGGCAAGAAUGCUGGAGCGGGUUGCCAGUUCCUUCUCUGGGGAUCUUCCCGACCAGGGAUCGCACCCAGGUCUCCUGCAAUGCAGGCGGGUUCUUUACCACUGAGCCUCCUGGGAAGCUCUCAGCUGGAGGGUUUUCCCUAAUUAAAGAAAAGGGUCUAGACCGUUCGGAGUACUGAGUCAGGCUGGAAAAACAGAGUUAUCUCCCUUUGAACUCAUGCCUCUCCCCUCCCUGGGGAUCAGUAUCUUAAAUGAAGUGGAAAUCUCUAGAAUAUUGCGUGGUCAUAAAACACCCGCAGGACUGGUCUGGAGCAAUGAGAUGAGGAAAAGCUUUGCAACCACCCUGGAGGUGACAGGCGCGGAGGAUGAGGGGCAUAAAUCUCUGGGAAUAAGGGAUUGCCCAGGUAGCCGGCAAUUUUCUCUUUAAGUCUGUGCCCCCUUCUUGUGGGCUGCUCAGAGUUACGGGGAUUUUUAGGAAUCGCCUCGGGCUUCAUUUCUUGGGGGGCAGGGGAGUGAGUGAUUUGGUUUUUCCUUGGGUUUUUUUUUUUUCCUUUGCAAGAUGUGAUUGAAUCAGUCCAGCCGGCUGGACUGGCCUGGCCUCUGGCAGCCCAAGUAUGCUGCGAUUUAGGCCGUUGUAUUUAGGAAUUGAGAGCUUUCUGAUUUCCCGCCCCUUUUGAAUUCUCAAAGUUUUCUGAUGCUGAAGCCUCCUUCCACCCCACCCCCACCCUGAUCCAUCCCUCUAAGCUGGAUAGCUAGAAACUUGGUGGGGGAAGUGGCUUAAAUAGAGAGCUUGUUUGCCCAGGAGCUGCCUUCAGGAAGCAAGUCUUCACAUCACCCUGCAAAGGAAGCCACUUGUUCUGUUUACCCACGCGCAAGCCAAGGCACACAGACUCUAAGCGACUUAGACGCCACCACACAGCAAGUAAGCGGGUAGUGGAGCCUGGUCUGUUUCCUGUGGGACGUACUUUACAGCAGGGUCCGCCUUAUUCAGAGAGGCCACAUGUCCUGCUGCACCCUCAGUGGGGCUGGUGACCGGGGGCCCCUGAGGAGUGGGUGCAGUGCCCGGGUGGGUGGGUAGGGCAGGCUCCCAGUGGCCAGCUGAGCCCAGCUCUGGAUGGGAUGGCCUAGCUUCAGGGGAUGCGUUACCGGCUGACCGGUGGCAUUCUGAGGAUGCCAAAGGUCUGGGGUCUAUGGGAGUGGUCAGCUGGGGUCUUCCUAGUCUAGGGCCCUAAUGCUGGGAGCUGAGCCUCUGCUGUUCUGACAGAGGCCAGGUGAGCCCUCCCUCGGGUCUUCUGGCUUUGCCUAGGUCUUGGGACCCCCUCGUCCACUUGGGAUUCUGCCAGGACUCUAGCCUACGGCUCCCUGUGGACAGAAGGCAUUGGGUUCCAAGUUGGCUCUGGGUGGACCAAGGGCUGGUCUCUCCUGGGAGCGCCUGGGGUGUGGGGCAGUGAAGCCAGCCACUGUCCAGGCUGAGAACUGUGCCACCGUGGAGACCCUGCAGCCACCCCACCUGCCGCAGAACUUCCUAUGGGCUGGGAGGGGUGGGCCAGUGUCGGGGAGGGGUCACUGUUUCUACCUUGGUUCACCUGGGUCAGCUGGCUGACUCCUUCCUCACCUGGAGAGUGCUCGAGGACAGCAAGAAAAAUGAGGGACUUUCAGGGGCAGCUGUGUUUUCUGACUCAGUCAUAAUGCCCCUAAAAAUCCUUAUUGUUCUUGCAGUGUGCAUCAGGCGGCGGCCCCAGCCCAGCCCUUGCCCACCUGGCCUCUCUGGGAUGGGGAGAACUACCUGGGGUUCAGCUGGCGUGCCCUCCCACGUUUUCCUGAAAUGAGACUGUAGGGGGAUUUGCUGAUGAGUUAAUGUUUUGUUGGUUGAUGCAUUGAUUGGCAUGUACUUUUAUAAUUUCUUUUUUGGUGGAGGAUGGGGUAGGCUGGGCACUGAGACACUCGCGCACAGAUCGGAGCCCAGGAGAAUGCAAGGUCUCCCUGGUUUGUGCGCAGUGAGGGGUCCCUAGAACUUAGCUGCACAUUACAGCCUGAGGAAGGGGAGCUUCAAGGGCAGGUGUACCCAGGGCUAGGUCAUGUCCUACUCUUGAUGACCCCAUGGACUGUAGCCUGCCCAGUUCCUUUGUCCAUGGAGUUUUUCAGGCAGGAAUACUGGAGUGGGUUGCCAUUUCCUUCUCCAGGGGAUCAUCCCGACCCAGGGAUUGAACCUGCGUCUCCCACAUUGGCAGGCAGAUUCUUUACCACUGAGCCACCUGGGAAGCCCCAUUUAGGGGCACUGUGUUUUAAAACGGGAGGAGCCUCAGUGUGCACCGCUGAGCUGGCCGUUUUGCAAAUCUGCCUGCAGUGGACCGAGGUCUUCCCGCAGCUGUUGCCCCUAGAGCCUGCUUUCUCUUGGGCGGGUGGUCUCUACCCUGUCUCACUUCCUGGGUCUCCACCUUGCCCAGCAGGUGCCUCAACCAGUUAUUUUGGACGUUUUGGGUAGAACUGGGGUUCCUGGGGGAUGGUCAAGCAGAAAUACAAGUUGGUGACAUGUCUUCCAGAACACAAGAACGCCAUUCAACAAAGAUGUCACUAAACGCCACAGCCACACAAUCAUCCGCUCUGGCUGAGGCUGGGCAGGUGGCCAGCCCACAGAUGGACGGACAGGGAGGUGGCAGGGCAGUAAGCAGGGCUGAGCCUGCUCCCAGGGGCGCCCCUCCGGGGUCUCACUGGCCUCCCAGGUCAGUCGAGGAAUUCAUCCUUAAGGUAUUGCUCAGGCUCCCUCCCCAGGUGCCGACUCGCACGUUCCACUGUUCCACUCGCUGCAUGUGGACUCUGGCCGCCAGGAUCCUCCUUCCUCCUGGCCAGCCCCAGCUGCCCACUCCUCCUCGGGCUCCUGUGAUCCGGAUAGCUGUCUCCAUCCCAGCCCCGGAGACAAUUUUUAAGGAGCUUCAACAUUCUUCUGUCCAGGGGAAGGGACGGCUCCAAGGUAAAGGUUAAUGUUGCUGCGGGGGGGGGGAGGUAAUGUUUAUUACUUCUUGGCGAGAGGUGGGCGGGCCUCUCGUGAAAUGUGAUUCUCACAUCUCAGGUGGACACAGGGCCACAGAACACAUCCCAUCCUCUUCAUAGCUAACCAUUUGCUAACGUCCACUCAGCUGUCCCUCCCUUCUGUCCCCACAAACCUCCUGUUCCAGAGUGUUUUCUUCAUUCUUUAUCCCAAAACAUCUGGAAAAAAAAAAAAAAAGUCCACUUUUAAAAAAGACUACAUAAGAAAUAAAACAUUAUUGGUUUUCCCUCAAUCAUAUAAGAACUGCUUUCCAAGUGCAGAGAGCAUUUUAAAAAUGCAGAAGGAUGAAAGAGGCUUAUAGGUGCCCAUACCUAGAGAUCAUGUCAUCUGAUAGAUUCUUCCAGGGUUUCUUUUCUCUUUGCAUGUACGUGCGUGUGUGCAAAGUUGCUUCGGUAGUGACUCCGACUCUUUGUGACCUUAUGGACUGCAGCCCACCAAGCUCCUCUGUCCAUGGGAUUCUCCGGGCAAGAAUACUGGAGCGGGUUGCCAUGCCCUCCUCCAGGGGAUCUUCCUGACCCCGGCACUGAACUCACAUCUCUUAGGUCUCCUGCGUUGGCAGACAGAGGACCGAGGCUCAGGAGACUCCCCAGAGGACACACAGCAAGGAUGCGGCCAAGCUGGGGUAUAGACAUGCAGUUUCUGACUCCAAGGCCAGUGCUUUCUGUAAUUGCUAUUUAUAGUAAGCAUAUGUCGUUAGACCCAGAUGUGGUCAUCACAGCCUCCUGAGGUGGGUGGGUAAACGCCACUGUCUCACGGAGAAGGUGUCUGCCCCCUGGGGAGACGGGGUGGUUGGCCCCUACUCCCCCAAAUGCCGAGUGUGUACGUGGCCAGCUUAGAUCCACAGUCUGCCCCCAUCAGCCUGCAUGCUGCCGAGGAUCCCAGUUCUGAGCAGGGCAGGGUUUAACCCUAUUUGCAGACCUCGCAAAAGGCAUGGCCCAGGUCUCACAGCUGGGGGGUGGCGGAGGCCCACCGGUCCCUGCUCCUUGCCGGCAGGCUGACACAGAGCCUGUGUGGGGUUUGCUCAUGGGGCCCUGCUCUGAGCUGGCGGCCCUCGGGGUCAGGAUGCCUGCUGGGGGUGCCUCCCUGCCCCUCCCUUGUUCCUGCAGAGCUGGACUCCCGGAGCCUGGCCUGAGAGCUGCCUGGGCAAGCUGCCAGUGCAGGGAAGUAGCGGGCAGGCACAGUGUUGGCUCCAGGAAGUGUCUCUGUUCCUGGGCCGGUCUGCAGGACUGGAGGGCCUGGACAUAACAGCAGAGAUGAGAGCUGAGGGCUAAGCACGCCUCCCGCCAGCCCCCCCAGGCUCAGCUGCUCCGGGCCGGGGCCGUGCCUUCCCUUGCUGGGCCUGGGCUCUCUCCUCCGUCUGGCUCCCGCCCUCCUCCCCACCAGCUCUGUGCUGCCAAGUACACGCUCUCGGCGGCAACGACAUCCAUUUAACCUGCUUCCCAGAAGACAGCAUGGUUACGCGGGCCGGCUCAGCCAGCACCAUGGUGGGAGAUGGGGAGGGGGCCCCCUCAGCUUGGUCUUCUCUUGCCCAUAUUUCUUAGGGAUCUGGGUGUGUGUCGGGGGGGUGGCCCUAAGCAACCUUGCUUACCUGGAUCAGAAGUAACCUCAGCUCAACUGGAAGCCUUGAGCAGCCACACUAAAGACAGAACUUUGAGAUCCUGGAGUUGGUGGGUGUUUGUAUUAGGGGCAAUCAUUUAGCCUGAGGCUGAGGGUAAAGCUAGCUUCCCUAAGUAGCUCAGUUGGUAAAGAAUCCACCUGCAAUGCAGGAGACCCCGGUUCAAUUCUUGGGCCGGGAAGAUCCCCUGGAGAAGGGACAGGCUACCCACUCCAGUCUUCUUGGGCUUCCCUAGUGGCUCAGUUGGUAAAGAAUCCGCCUGCAUUGCAGGAGACCUGGGUGCGAUCCCUGGGUUGGGAAGAUCCCCUGGAAAAGGGAACAGCUACCCACUCCAGUGUUCUGGCCUAGAGAAUUCCAUGGACUGUAUAGUCCAUGGGGUUGCAAAGAGUCAGACAUGACUAAGUGACUUUCACUUGGGUAAAGCUGCCUCCCCUGAGCCUGUUGCUGCGUUUGUUUUUUUUUUAAUGUUUAUUUUUUUGGCUGCAUUCUAUCCCUGACAAGGGAUCAAACCUGGGCUCCCUACUUUGGGAACCCAGAGUCAUAGCCACUUCACUACCAGGGAAGGCCCACCGCGUUCCUUUAAUAGCCAUAAUAGAACGCUCUAGCCAUAUUCUGAACGCACAAGUUGUGGUUCCUUCUCCCCUCCCCAGAUACUUCACUGGGGAACCUGGGGAGGUGUCAGCGUGGAGAGCGUGUUCAUUUCAUGCCAGCUGUGCUGUGCUGCUCAGGAAGCGAGUGUAGGUCUUCAGGCAUUGCAUAGUGUCUUCUGUUUGUGAUCUCUACAAAGAUGACCUUUCCUGCAAUCUCCUCUCUGGCCCUCCUGCCCUGGCCAGACCCUGUUAGGAUGGUGGUUCUGAACCGAGAAGCUGGCCCCUUUGCGCCUCUUGUCUGGCCCUCGAGGCCCAGGGAGGCAUCCUCCCCCUCAUUGGGGUUCAUCCUACAAGUCCAGAUGCCGUCAGCUCCAGGGCCUCCCUCUGGGCCAGAGCUCGUCCCUCCCCACCAGCCUCCUUGGGGUGCAGAUGGACGGCCCAGCACAGUCAGGAAUAGCCCUCUGUUUGCCUUGGCUGGUGGGGAAGAGAUUACUGCUCACUUUCUGUUUUGACUCUUAUAUUUAGCUAACACACAGAGCCUGUGAGAUCGCAGAAAAGCAGCCUUGGGUCUUGAAUGAGUCUGGGGCCCGUCCCUGAUGGCCUGGCGCCUGUUGAGUGGAGGUGUCUGAAGUAGGCAUGAGUGAUAACACUGCCUUCUGGGUACAUGGAGAGAGGUGAGGACCAUCUGUCGAUUUUCCUGAUCCAAGGUCCUCUGCCCUUUCAUGUUUUCCUGUGGGGGUUACUCCUCCCAACCCCUGAGGUUUGCAUGGGGCCAGCCCCAUCCCCUGGCUUUAGAGGCUGGCAUGUGUCCCAGCUGGAAACUGAGCUGCCCUCCUUGGGAUUUCUGCAGCAGCCAUGGGGAAAGAGGCAUUCACUUUUCAUGGGAGUUGCUGGGUUGACGGAACUUCUGGUGACCACUCUCGUUCUUCACUUGAGGACGAAGCCAACAAAAAGGAAAGAAGCAAGAAGUGGGAAAAGUAUGCUGUCCAGAUACCAGUAAGCCGCUGGACCCAGCCAUGCCUGAAACUGACCACAUCUCUGGACUAAUCUGAUUAUAUGAGCCAAUGAAUGCGUUUCAUUUUUUGUAAAACUAUCCUGAGCUGUGUUUCUGUCAUAGAAAGGGUCCUAAGAAAACUAUAUUUUUCUUUGGUCUCAUUAAAAAAAAAUCAACCUUAAGGUAUACUUUACAUGCAGCCAUUUUAAAAUGUCCAGUUCAUACAUUUUUUCAAAUGUGUACACCCCGUAACUACUACCGCAGUCGAGCUGUAGAACAUUUAAAGUUCCCCAUUCCCCUUUAUGGUGAGUUCUCCUGACCCCAACCAGCCACUGACCUGCCUUUGUCCUCGAGAUUUAUUCAGUCUUCUCUUGGUUCAGGCCCCUGGAGGUUGAGGAGAGCAUUUCCUCGAUGCUCAGAUUAUGGAUCAACCUGGGUCAUUUCUCCUGGUCCAACUGUGCUGAAGCCAGAUGCACCUCAGUUUUGUGGUUCAAUACAGCCUUCUCUUCGUUUGAGCCAGCUCACCACAGAAGAGAGUCCUGGCUGAUGCAGCUUAUCCACCGCACCCUUCAGUAAGCUCCGCCCAAGAACCUCCAGGCAAAACCAACUAAUGGUCAGUCCAGCUCACCUCCUGGGAGCCAGACACUAGCAAGCGCUUUACACGCAUUAUCUCAAGUCUUCUCAGCAACCCUCGGGAGGUGCUGUUAGCCCCACUUCACUGGGCUGUGGGUGUGUUGCAUACCUCUGCACCUCCUCUGUCCACCAGGUUCCUGACUUCUUGUCCCACAGCUGAAGCUGACCCCUCCCAGACCACAUGCCAGGGUAAGGGGGCUGGAUCCCGAAUGGCCAAAGAGGCUGAAGAACUCAAGCCAUACACGUGGAGGGAGUUCGUUUUCGGGACAAACUUUGAGCCGUAGCUUAAGCACCUUCGGCAGGAAAGAGCUCAGGAGGCCCUGUCGUCAGUAACCUAGCACACCUUUCAGAUCUUGUGGUCACAAAAUACCUUGCCUAACCUGCUGGUUCUUCCCACAGAUCAAAGAAGUAGAAAUGAAGAAUAAGUAAUUACCAGGUGACCAGAUCUCUUCCCCAGCUUCCCCUUCAGUAAUCUCAUGAACAAAUGGUGGGAACAAGAUAGCAUCUAACAAGAAAGAUCACAAGAAGUCGACAAGCCUGCACACAGCUGGGGAUCAUGACACCUCUGACCCCCUCCAUCCGUGAUUAACUGAGCUGACUUCUCUUUUCCCCCUUAGAAACUUCCAUGGCCACGCAGACUCUUCAGAGCUGGUUUUGGCGGAACACCUGAGUAUACCAUCUCCCCAGACUGCCGGCAUUCCGAUUAAAAGGAACUUUGCUUUCUAUCAACAACUGCUUCUUGGGUGUUGAUUUCCAAGCAGCUGGACUGAGUUUGGAAACAGCAGAUGAGACAGGAGGAUAAAUUCCUUCAUCCUCCAUCCCUUGGACCACUUGAGGCACAUUUUCCAGAUGGGGUUUGUUGUACAGUGGUUACACGUCACCUUGCUUUGCUUCCUGUUCUCCCCGACCUCCUUUCUCUUAUCCCUCCCUCUAGCUGCCCUGGAAUUCCACUUCCAAGUUAAUGUAUCAGCCCUUAAUCCCUUGCCAGAGGGCCCACUCUUGAGGGAACUUAGCAGUCUGACGCCUGGGUCUGCACUUCAUGGCCUCAGUGAAUGCUGACCAAGAGGACAGAUACACGAUGGAUCACGGCCAUGGGGUUGGGGACUGAGGAGGGAAUACGGAUAGUGCCAAAUUCACCAUCAGAGGUACCAGUGAUAAAGGUGUCCCCAUCAUCUCUCCUGUUCCAUUCACUGGGUCUAAUCAGUCAAAUCCUGACUCCAUGCUAUAGGUCAGAGACUGUGGCAUCCCCCACUAACCUGUGUCCAGUACGAAACAGUGCACACUCCUUAUCCAUCACUUGCGGGGUAUGUGAUGCUGGAAGGUGCUCAGCCUCUCUGAGUUGCCUUCCCCAUCUGUACAGUGGGGAUAAGACUGGGCUCACCACCUGAAACUGUGGAGAUGCCUAAUGGACACGAGGUUUGUGCUUAAAGCAGAGUACGGGGAGGGCAUCGUGGAGGCUACCUGUCCAAUAGUGAUCCUGCUCUCUUUUGAGAAGCACCCCUCCUUCCUUCUGUCCCUACUGGGUAAAUAGGGCUGUCCCACCCCUACUGCCAGAUCCAGGCCAAUCCACACAUCUCUACUGACCACAAGAUUGGAUCAGGCCUGGGCAUGAGACCCAAGUCAGACCAGUCCCUGCCACAGUUCCCUGAAGUUUCUGGAACAAUGAAAGAGGUGUUUGCUCUUUGCUUUUAGCCUGGAGCUACCUGAGGCCAUUUUUUAUUAUUUGGACAUGUGAGAAUGAACGUCAGUGCGGUGACGUCAGAAGAUAGCAACGCCAAGAGAUGGAGCAGGAUGCAAACUUCUGGUGAUGGCCUUGGAGCUCCCAGAUCUACCAUGCCAGCAGCUAGGGAACCCCUGGUAUUUUUAGAAAUUAAAACAUAGGCAAAAAUUUUCCAUUUCAGUUGCCUAAGCCAGUUCAAGUUGCAUUUCUGUUACUUAAAACUGAAAUGGUCUUGGGUCUUACCUUGUGGGCCAAUGAUGAAGAAUCCACCUGCCAAUUUAGGGGACAUGGGUUCGAUCCCUGGUCCGGAAAGAUCCCACAUGCCACAGGGUAACUAAGCCCACCCUCUAGAGCCCAUGCUUCUUUUGUUGAAGAAGCAUGUUUGCUUCUGUAACAAGAAGCUUGUUUGCAG
ensembl:lncRNA